GUUAAAAAGCUCGUAGUUGGAUCUCAACAGCCUUGAAGCGGUUAACUUUGUAGUUUUACUGCUUUAUAGGCUGUGCUUUUGCUGGAGGUUUAGGGGUGCUCUUGAUCGAGUGUCUCUGGAUGCCAGCAGGUUUAUUUUGAAAAAAUUAGAGUGCUCAAAGCAGGCUAAAAUGCCUGAAUAUUCGUGCAUGGAAUAAUAGAAUAGGAUGUCGAUCCUAUUUUGUUGGUUUUCGGGACUCGACAUAAUGAUAAAUAGGGACAGUCGGGGGCAUUUGUAUUCAAACGACAGAGGUGAAAUUCUUGGACCGUUUGAAGACAAACUACUGCGAAAGCAUUUGCCAAGAAUGUUUUCAUUAAUCAAGAACGAAAGUUAGAGGUUCGAAGGCGAUUAGAUACCGCCCUAGUUCUAACCAUAAACGAUGCCAGCUAGCGAUCUGCCUGCGUUUUUACUGUAGACUGGGCAGGAAGCUUCCGGGAAACCAAAGCAUUUGGGUUCCAGGGGAAGUAUGGUUGCAAAGCUGAAACUUAAAGGAAUUGACGGAAGGGCACCACCAGGAGUGAAGCCUGUGGCUUAAUUUGACUCAACACGGGAAAUCUCACCAGGCCCGGACACUGGAAGGAUUGACAGAUUGAUAGCUCUUUCUUGAUUCGGUGGGUGGUGGUGCAUGGCCGU
rnacentral:rRNA from 1 species